GACGAACGCUGGCGGCGUGCCUAAUACAUGCAAGUCGAACGCAGUGGGGACGGGUGAGUAACACGUGGGUAACCUCCCAUCAGAGGGGGAUAACACUUGGAAACAGGUGCUAAACAGCAUACUGAUGGAUGGACCCGCGGUGCAUUAGCUAGUUGGUGAGGUAAUGGCUUACCAAGGCGACGAUCCAUAGCCGACCUGACAGGUUGAUCGGCCACAUUGGUACUGAGACACGGCCCAAACUCCUCCGGGAGUCAGCAGUAGUGAAUCUUCGGCAAUGGACGGAAGUCUGACCGAGCAACGCCGCGUGAGCGAAGAAGGCCUUCGGGUCGUAAAGCUCUGUUGUUAGAGAAGCGGUAUCUAACCAGAAAGCCACGGCUAACUACGUGCCAGCAGCCGCGGUAAUAC
rnacentral:rRNA from 1 species